CAAAUUUCUUCCCUAUCAAAUUUCGAUGUUUGGGUAGUGGCCAAACAUGGUUGCAACGGGAAACGGAGGGUUAGGGCUCGGCCCCGGAGAAGGAGCCUGAGAAACGGCUACUACAUCCAAGGAAGGCAGCAGGCGCGCAAAUUACCCAAUCCCGACACGGGGAGGUAGUGACAAUAAAUACUGAUACAGGGCUCUUUUGGGUCUUGUAAUUGGAAUGAGUACAAUUUAAAUCCCUUAACGAGGAACAAUUGGAGGGCAAGUCUGGUGCCAGCAGCCGCGGUAAUUCCAGCUCCAAUAGCGUAUAUUAAAGUUGUUGUGGUUAAAAAGCUCGUAGUUGAACCUUGGGCCUGGCCGGCCGGUCCGCCUCACCGCGUGCACUGGUCCGGCCGGGCCUUUCCCCCCGCGGAACCCCAUGCCCUUCACUGGGCGUGGCGGGGAAACGGGACUUUUACUUUGAAAAAAUUAGAGUGCUCCAGGCAGGCCUAUGCUCGAAUACAUUAGCAUGGAAUAAUGAAAUAGGACGUGCGGUUCUAUUUUGUUGGUUUCUAGGACCGCCGUAAUGAUUAAUAGGGACAGUCGGGGGCAUCAGUAUUCAAUUGUCAGAGGUGAAAUUCUUGGAUUUAUUGAAGACUAGCUACUGCGAAAGCAUUUGCCAAGGAUGUUUUCAUUAAUCAGGAACGAAAGUUAGGGGAUCGAAGACGAUCAGAUACCGUCGUAGUCUUAACCAUAAACUAUGCCGACUAGGGAUCGGACGAUGUUAUCUUUUGACUCGUUCGGCACCUUACGAGAAAUCAAAGUGCUUGGGCUCCAGGGGGAGUAUGGUCGCAAGGCUGAAACUUAAA
rnacentral:rRNA from 1 species